AGCUUGUGGAGAACUCUAA
rnacentral:siRNA from 1 species